AGAGAAGAACACUAAGCUGAGCGUGGGAGCCUAGGAGCAAGACUCAGGUCUCAAGACCCCCCGUCUCCACCAAGCAGUCUCAGAAGAAUUGCUCGACGGGUGGGAAGAGCUCCAGGCGAGAGGCUGUCUUAGAAAUCAAGGAAGUGGAAAGUUUCCAGGAGGAGAAUGUGGUUGCCAUUUCAAAUGCAACAAAGAGGCCCAGAAAGAUAAGGACUGUAAUGUAUCCCGUGGGUUUGAUAAUCUGGAAGUCACUGGAGACUUUGGUAAACAGUUACAGUGGCGUGGUAGGGACAGAAGCAGGGUACUGUGGUGGGCAAUGAUAGAGCAACGAGGGCUAGGAUUACCCAGUGAAGAUGGCUCUUAUAAUAAGCUCAGGGCAAAAGGAAAGGAAAGAGGGAGAGGCAAGAGGGGAGUAUAGGAUCAAAGGAAAGUGUUUUUUGGGUGGGGAGAACUUGAGCAUGUUUGUACAUUGAGGGUCAGAGGGAGAUAGGAGUGACUGCAGCAAGUUGUGAGCAAAUUGGAGCAAGAGGGACAAAAUUGAGGCAGCGUGAGGGGCUGGACCUGACCACGAGGAGGAACACCUCGUCCUCAGAGACAAGGGUGGGUGGGUGGGUGGGUGUGACACACUGGAAAACCAGGAUGGUGGGAGCCGUACAGUGUUCAGUACAGGAUGAACACCAGAAAGAAAUAUUAAUGAGAGCUUUCUGCAGAUCCUGACCCUUUGUAAAGGGAGUGCACACUAACUUUCCAAUUCGCAAAGAAUAGCACCCUCUUAUAAUCACCCCAGGGAUAAGGAAGGAUCAGAGUGUGAGUCAGAAAAUGAGCUGCUUGGCCGGAUGCAGUGGCCAAGUGCACCUGCUAUCCCAGCACUUCGGGAGGCUGAGGCGGGUGGAUCGCCUGAGGUCAGGAGUUCGAAACCAGCCUGGCCACAUGGUGAAAUCCUGUCUCUACUAAAAAUACAAAAAUUAGCUGGGUGUGGUGGUAGGCGCCUGUAAUCCCAGCUACUUGGGAGGCUGAGACAGGAGAAUCGCUUGAACCUGGGAGGCGGAGGUUGGAGUGAGCCGAGAUCACGCCAUUGCACUCCAGCAGUGGGUGACAAGAGUGAAACUCUGUCGAAAGAAAAGAAAAGAAAAGUAAAGAAAAGAAAGAAGGAAGGAAAGGAAAUGAGCUGCUUGUAUCGGAUAUUUCAGGUGUAGAGUAGCUCUAGGCGAUGACAAGUUCCAGGAUUUGAAUGUGGUACGGAGCUGAAAUGGAGCAGAGGUGAGGGUCACUGGGAUUAAGAUCAGAGAAAUCAUGCAAGGGUAGGUUCUUGGAUAGGUGUAUCAGAUAGGAACCCAAUUUUGCUGCAAGCAACAGCAACAUGACUGCAGUGGCUUAAAUAAGUAGGGGAUAUACAGGAUAAGAAGUCUAGAGGCAGACAGAUGAUGGUGAUGGCUCAAUAGCCUUUUGAGGACAAGGUGGACUCUGCUAGCCAUUUCCUCAUGGUUGAAAGAUGGCUGUCCCUGCUCCAGCCAUUGCAUCUACAGUCAAGGAAGGAAGAAGGAGAAAAGGAUGUACCAGCUGUGUAUCUCCCCUAUUACCAGGAAAGCAAAUGCUUUUCUAGAAAACACUCCUUCUCUCCAGCAUAUUCCCACUGGGUCUUCUUGAGAGAACCGUGUCCCUUGGCCUUCCCUUGGCUGCAAGAGAGCUGAGAGAACUGGGAACAGGACUGCCACGGUAGAUGAAGUCAGCACCUUCUGCUGGGCACACCGCUGCAUGGAACUAAAUCAGGGUCCUCGUACAAAGGCAAAAAUGGGGCUGGAUAUUGAUUAGGCCAACAUGAGAUCUGCUGUGAUACAUCCUCUAUGUGGUGAACAAAGUCUUGUCCUGCUCUAGAGGGUUGAUAUUCAGGCCAAUGAAGGAUGGAAAUAGCUGUUAGGUCCAGCUGAGGGCAGGACUGGGAAGAGGAGUGAUGGGAAGGUAGUCAGAGGCCAGAGCUGAGUCCCUGGACACCAGCCUGUGUUUGUGCUGAGAGGGGAAGGCAGAGCUGUCUUCGGGGAGAUGGAAGAGGCAGGCCUGGCCAAACUAAGGGGCAGGUGCAGACCACAGCCACAGUUUGGGAGGCAGCAAGUGCCUGCCCAGCCUCCAGCACCCCCUUUGGGCCUCUGGGCCCCUCAGAAACGUGAACUGGGCAACCCAGGCUCCGCAUUCACAGGCGUAAAGUGUGGCACCCUUUGAGAAGGGGACUCAGGUCAGACUGGCCCUCCAGAAACCUCAAGACUACCACCCCCAAGUCUCUUCCUUAUAUCCUGUGGUCCUCACCAUGGUCCUCUCAUUUGAUCCCAGUCCUCUUGCCCAGCUAUCCCCUGGCUCCUCCCACAGCAUUAGGGUUCCAUCCCCAGCAAUGCUGGGUAAGAGCUUCCCAGGACUCCUCUCCCCUCCCCAGGGCCCUCUAUUAUGAGCAGAACCAGACAGGGCAACACAGGGGCAGAUGAUGAGCUACACAGGGCCCGCUGCUCGCUGGUUGUGAGGGGGUAAGAAAGGAGGAGGGCAAAGCUGACUCCCUACGCUAAGCCUAGGUGACCCAUCCAGCAGCCUACAGCUGUGCAGUGGGACUUGGGCAGCAGUGAUUGUUCAAUAGCCUUUUGGGGACAAGGUGGCCUCUGUUAGCCAUUUCCUCAUGGUUUAAAGAUGGCAUCCCAGUGUGUGACCUGGACACCAGGUUUUGUCUCAGAUGAGCCAGAGAGUAGAGAAGCCCCUCAGGCUGCACUCCCCCAUCUUUCUGCCCUUCGUCCACUCCAUCGAGCAUGCCCUGCACCCUCAGAUCCUAGGGCCUUUGCUCAUGCCAUCAGUCUGCUUGGAACACUCCUCCCCACCCUGCUCUCCAAGUUGACUCCCACUCUUCCUUUGCACCCCAGCUUAGACAUCAUUUCUCUGAAGACCCCUUUCUUGGCCUUUUGCCUGGUUCUUUCUUUCCCCGUUUUCCUUCCUAGGAAUAUGUGAUUCUGUAUUAGUUCAGAUCAUUACCACCAAUCACUGAGUCAAACAUGCAAUCCCAGUGAGCAAGCACAACAGAGGCUGAUUUCUUCUACUUCCACAUGGCUUGGGGAGGCCUCCUUCACUUGUAGUUACGCCGGCCACCUGGCAAUACGCCACACCCAAUGUCUCCAAUGCGGAGCAUGAGAAGGAAGCACACCAGCUCUUAAAGUGCAUCCUUGGAGGUGACACAAAUCACACCCACUCAAGGUCCUUGCCAGAAUUGAUCACAUGCCCCAAACUAAACUGUAAAAGGGAUUGGGAAAUAGUGGGGUGUACGUGGAAUAGUUAGUUAGUUAGUUAGUUAGUUAGUUCGUUAGUUAGUUAGUUAUUUUUAAGAGAUGGGGUCUCGGUUGUUGCCCUGGUUGGUCUCAAACUCUUGGGUUCAAGCAAUCCUCCUGCCUGAGCCUCCUGCGUAGCUGAGAUGACAGGUGUUUGCCACAAUGCCCAGCUCAUGGAAUAUUUAGGAAGCUCUACUUGUCUCUGCCACAGCUUUUUGUAAAAGCCUCUUAUCACAGUUGUCACUUUACAUUUAUUUAUGAGCUUCUUGGAUGGUGUCUGUCUCUGUCCCGAGGGUUGUGAGCUCCAAUGAGGACAGGAAUUGCAUGUGUUGGCUCACGGUUCCCCCUCAGGGUCUAGCUGACUACCUGUGUGUCAUCGGUGUCCAGGAAAUAUUGAGUGACUCACUAAAUAAAUAAACUGCAUUAAGUGGGCAGUGGGCUUAGCAAUUGAGAGUUCACUUCAGGCCACAAAGAGCAUCAUUUCAGAGGGAAACAAAACUUCAAAGUCUAAGGAGUGAAAUUGAGUUAGGGAUCAGAGGGUCAGCUAAUUUUGACAGAGAAAAGCAAGAAGAUCUGAUGAGGAGAGGCACGGGGGAAUUUUCCCACAGGCCCAGCUCGCUAAAUCAGCUUUUAUUAAACCACUCCUUGGUACUGUGGCUGUCCCUGGGUGCCACAGACACAAAGAGCUGUGGGGGAGAAGGGGAAGGUUUUGCAGCCAUCACUAGCUCCCACUGCUUCCCCUGUGACCCUACCACUGUGAAAAAUAAUGCAGCAACAGCAGAAUGCACAGUUUCCAUAAUUAGGCUCCGUGAAGAGGGGAAGCCGUCUCAAAAAGCCUGCUGUUUUAGCUCUGGUAGAAGUCUGGGUAGUUUAAAGGGGAGAACGUGUUUUCCAGACAGAUGGCUUAACAUCGGUUCCUGACAAAAGGCAGGCAGGAAAGAAGAAACCACUCAGGAAAAGAAAAGCCUUCAAACCUCUGGAGAGGCAGUGAGCGGUCUAAAAUCUCUGCUUCUUCUUAGCUCUCUGGUUCUGGCCACAUUACCCAGCUUCUCUAAGCUCCAGCUUCCUCACCUGUAAAAUUCCUCUUCAUCAGUUCUAAGACACACCUUUUUUUCUUAACAUUUUAACAUCGCUGAAAUUAGGAUGUAAUUAGCGAUCAAUGGCAGGCCACAAUAUAGUUGGUAGGGCUUUUCUCUUCAUAUGGCAUAAAAUAAUGGCAAGUGUUACAAUCAAUUUAUCUUAGAUUUGAUGAAAUACAGCAUUCCCUUUGGUUUUGGGAUCAGAAAUAAUAUAGGUGAACUGGUGCCAGGUAAUAUAUGGAAUUGUACAUAGUAGAUUCUCAGAAAAAUCACAAUUUUAAUCUUAUUACUUUAAGAUAUAAAAAAGAAAAAUCUUCAGGCUAGGCGCGGUGGCUUACAACUGUAAUCCCAGCACUUUGGGAGGCUGAAGCGGGCAGAUCACCUGAGGUCAGGAGUUCAAGACCAACCUGGCCAACAUGGCGAAACCCCAUCUCUACUAAAAAUACAAAAAUUAGCUGGGCGUGGUGGCACACACCUAUAAUCCCAGGUAUUUGGGAGGCUGAGGCAGGAGAACCUCUUGAACCUGGGAGAGAGAAGUUGCAGUGAGCCAAGAUCAUGCCACUGCACUCCAGCCUGGGUGACAGAGCAAGACUCUGUCUCAAAAACAAAAACAAAAACAAAAACCAAACUUCAGUCUUUGUGGGAUACGUAGCAUGAACAAGGUUAGAAAUGUAAUGUGCAACAUCAGAACUAAAGUUGGCCGGGCGCUGUGGCUCACGCCUGUAAUCCCAGCACUUUGAGAGGCCGAGGCGGGUGGAUCACAAGGUCAGGAGAUCAAGACCAUCCUGGCUAACACAGUGAAACCCCGUCUCUACUAAAAAUACAAAAUAUUAGCCGGGCGUGGUGGUGGGCACCUGUAGUCCCAGCUGCUCGGGAGGCUGAGGUAGGAGAAUGGCGUGAACCUGGGAGGCAGAGCUUGCAGUGAGCCGAGACUGCACCACUGCACUCCAGCCUGGGCAAUAGAGCAAGACUCUGUCUCAAAAAAAAAAAAAACAAAAAACAACAACAAAAAAAACUAAAGUUAAUAAAACUUUAUUGUAUUAGAGAUUUCUGUUAAGUUAGUAGAUUUCAGCUGCUCUUGUCACCAAAAAAGAAAGUAACUAUGUGAGAUGAUGGCUAUGUUAAUAUGCUUCGCUAUGGUAACCACUUUACUAUCUAUAUGUAUCCCACAACAUUUGUUAUAAACCUCAAAUACACACAAUAGAAUUUAUUUUUUAAGAAAAGUCUUUGUGACAUCAUCCUUAGCUAACCAACACAGGAACAGAAAACCAAAUACUGCACAUCCUCACUUAUAAGUGGGGGCUAAAUGAUGAGAACACAUGAACACAUAGAGGAGAGCAACACACACUGGGGCCUUUUGGAGGGUGGAGGAUGGGAGGAGGGAGAGGAUCAAGAAAAACAACUAAUGGGUCCUAGGCUUCAUACCUGGGGGAUGAAAUAAUCUAUACAACAAACCCCAUGACACAAGUUUACCUAUGAAAUAAAGCUGCACGUGCAACCCUGAACUUCAAAUAAAAGUUUAAAAAAUAAAAAUAGGCUGGCUAUGGUGGCUCAUGCCUGUGAACCUAGCACUUUGGGAGACUGAGGCAAGUGGAUCACUUGAAGUCAAGAGUUUGAGACCAGCUCCACUAAAAUAACAAAAAUUAGCCGGGCUUAGUGGUGUGUGCCUAUAAUCCCAGCUACUCAGGGGGCUGAGGCAGGAGAAUUGCUUAAACCAGGGUGGGGGCAAAGGUUGCAGUGAGCCGAGAUGGUGCCACUGCACUCCAGCCUGGAUGAAAGAGCGAGACUCCAUUUCAAAAAUAAAUAAAUAAAUAAAUAAAAAUCUUUGUGAGUUGUUUGGUUUCUACCCUCAGACUUUAUACAACUGUCAUUACAGGAUUAGGAGUUGCCCUUGUAAGACUUGGGCAAAGUACACUGACUUUGCAGGUGGGACUGGGGUAAAGGCUGGAUGACGGAAGAGAGAGAGAGAAACAGCGAGAGAGAAAACACAGAGAGAGAAGAGAGAGAGAUGGAGAGAACACAGAGGUUAGCAGGAGGAAAAAUCAAAGGUGAAAUAUGAAUCCACUGCCUCUUUGGAACUUUACAGUGGUGACUGAAAUGUAAGAGACACUGGUUCCAAGCCUGGGAAAAGGGCAAAGUGAUCCAGCCUCACGGAUGACUCAGCCAGGAGCAAAGAGGGCAUUCAGAAGAAGACAUAAAUAUUCCUUAGCCUCAGAGAGGCAGAGACCUGAAAGAACUGAUAAAUCAGGAAUCUUGAUUAUUGUAAAUUUGGAAGUUGUACAUGUAAAAUGUUUUCUUUUUCCAUUGGAAAGAUAGAGACUGUCAUUUGGUGCAAAUCUCUCUACUGAUUUUGAAAGAAAGAAAGGAAUACUGUUAGGUAGAUGGGGAUCUGGAAAGAAUUCCUGGAUUUAGCUUCGGGCUUAGAAUCCAGCCCCUUCCCCUCUUACUGUUCCUCCUCCCCGCCUCCACCACAAGUGAUUUGUUCCAUUUUAAUUGCACCCAUUUGACUUUCACGAAACGUGUUAAAAUUUUGUUAGUGCAUGAAUAUCUGGGUAUGUGUACUUGAGUUUCAUAUUUGAAGGCUUAAUUCGCUUUUUGAAAUGCUUUUUAUAAAAGUAUUUCAUUACUUAAUGAAGUGAAGUAAUUUCUAAAAGUAAAAUCAAGGUCCAAUCUGUAUUGAUCUGGAGAAGUUCUGCAGUAUAUCAAAUGUUUAUGGUUUUGCACGUCUCAAUUACAAGAAUCAGAAGGGCAUUAAAAACAAAAAGAUAAAAAAGCUUAUGCAGAGAUGGUGUUAGUAGUGACUCAGGGCAUUCAUUAUUUUAUGGGAAGGGAAUUAUUAAUAAAUUACUUCAGGGGUAGAAUUGCCAAUUUUACGUCACUUUUAUGACAAAAUAAAUCAAAUGGGCAAAUGCUCAGUUUUGUAUAUAAUUCAGCAUAUGAUUGUAUAUUUGUGACCAAUUCUGCUGAGUAUAAAGUCCCAUGACAGUUUUAUUCAGAAAAUACAAAUAAUACAAAAAUGCAGAACUAAUUUUCUGGUCCCAAGAUAGCUUGGCAAAUAGCCACGUUUAUAAAUAUUUUCUGUGACAUAAUUUGUCCUAUGACUUAAUCAAGAUGUCUUUAGAGAUAAUAUUUGUUAAAGUAGUCAGUGAUAGAACUUAGCCCAUUUAUGUCUAGUGUUCCAUUAUUGGAACACUAAGUAUGUGGGAGUUAUUUGUAUCCUACUGCUCAAGGUCAUUGCCAAGUUCUGAUUGCAAAAAUUCAAAAAAUUGCAACCUCAGACAUAAAUGGGUUAAUCUGAAAUGCCAGUUACAAAUUGGGCUGUUUCCACCCCUGCCUCCACCCUCUGAGCUUUGCAUGUUCCACUAACCCGGGCAGGUGGCAGGUGGGGGUGUCAGGCUGCUGGCAUCUCUUCGAGGGCAGAACACUAACCUGACCAUGGGCAUCCACCCCAAUAAAAGCAAUUCCAACCUUAAAAUAAAUAAAAAUAAAAUUAAAGAAAUUGGGCUGUGGCGUUUUUUUGUCUGUUUGUUUGUUUUGAUGGAGUCUCCCUCUGUUGCCCAGGCUGGAGUGCAGUGGUGGGAUCUCGGCUCACUGCAGCCUCCACCUCCCACACCCCACUGCUCCCGGCCCCCCUAACUGGAAGACUUUGGUUUCAUCCUCACUUAGGUAGUUGGACAUGGAGCUGUCUGCCGACUUGGGAACCUCUCAGCCAUGCAUAUGGGGCCAUGAUAUUGCUAGAGGACUUUUGUUCUUCUGCUUAUUUUUAAAAGACCAGUCCUGUUCAAAGUCAACUCCAAGCAUAUGAAUUACAUAAAAAUAGGCUUUAAGGCUUAGAGAGAUGAAACUUGGCAUCAGAGGUCCCUGAGGAACGGCCACUGCAGCUUGACACCACUUUGAGCCAGGAAAACUUAGUCUUGGCCACUUAGAGUAGGCACUUAACUUUGAACGAUUGGAAUUUUCAAACAACCAGGUUCUAGGCAACCACUUGGUUAAAACCUUGUUAUACAAGCCCAAAUAACAGGAGUCAGCCAAGACCACCCUGACUUGAAGAAGAUUCUCCAUCGUGAAACAGUUAUCACUGAGCAAUCUUAAAAUCCACCAGCAUAACCAGAUACCAGCUGCAAGCCAAUGCCUACCACAGCCAUCCCUAGACAAGGUCUCACACCCAUUCUGCAGGGAUUCCAAAAGUGCAGAGACCGGGCGGGGGGCUAGCUCUGCCAUUUUGACCCCUCCAGCAUGUUCCUUGGGAGAAAAGCCAGAAUAUGGGUGUGUAUUCUGCCGUGACAUCAACGUAGAGGGACGCAGAUGUCAGAUCUUCUGGCAAGACGUACUCAGGUCAAGGUCAGGCCUAGGAAGACAAUGAAGACUUCUUUACUCAUUUCUGAUGCCAGAGCCUCUGAAAAACUGGACUCUGUAAUACUCUUGGUCCCUUGAAAUGCUGGUGCUAUGGAUGACAUAAACAAGACAAUCCACACCAUUUCUUGUACCAGAGCCCCAUUUCCAGCCAUCAUAGCUCUGUUCAUCAAGGUUGAGUCCUAAAUCCACGAACUACCCACUGGCCACAGUUUGCAUCCCAAUUCUGGAGACAUAGUACAAAGCCUAAUGUAUGUCAGUCUACCUCUCUAUCCCCCAUCUUUGUUGAAAGUGUGGCCAGACGCAGUGGUUCACACCUGUAAUCCUAGCACUUUGGUAGGCCGAGGCAGGUAAAUCACUUGACAUCAGGAGUUUGAGACCAGUCUGGCCAACAU
rnacentral:lncRNA from 1 species